UACGGAGGGGGCUAGCGUUGUUCGGAAUUACUGGGCGUAAAGCGCACGUAGGCGGCUUUGUAAGUUAGAGGUGAAAGCCCGGGGCUCAACUCCGGAAUUGCCUUUAAGACUGCAUCGCUAGAAUUGUGGAGAGGUAAGUGGAAUUCCGAGUGUAGAGGUGAAAUUCGCAGAUAUUCGGAAGAACACCAGUGGCGAAGGCGACUUACUGGACACAUAUUGACGCUGAGGAGCGAAAGCGUGGGUAGCAAACAGG
rnacentral:rRNA from 1 species